ACAGAAAAGGCAGUUGGCUGCCCAGAGCAAUGGCUUCAAUUUGAAGGAUACAACUUUCUGUGAGCUCUUCCCUGAAGAUGCAGAGAAAAUUCGUGAAGAUAUACGAAAGCGGGAGGAAGAAAUUCGUGAGUCGACGAGUCAGUCCCUACAAAACAACAGACAGUCGAGUCUCCAGGGCGGGGACCCAGAAAACGUUGGGAAUAAUGGCCUCCUUGGUACAGCGCUAUCAAACAUUCUCGUUAUCAUUGGAUUUGCAGCCUUUGCCUACACAGUGAAAUAUGUGUUAAGAACAAUUGUGGAGUGAUGUAGGGGACUAUAGCUUGUCUGGAGGGUUUUAAGAAAAUGUUGAGGUGUUGUCAUAUCCUUGGUUUUGUGUCAUGAAGAAACUUUAACCCUGGUCAUAACUAAAAAGAAUGGUCAAGAUAUUCAACACUUGUUACCCAAGAUAAAACAACAUGGGGCCUUAUUCAUAAAGCAUAUUAAGUCAUUUCCUAACUUAAGUCAAUUUCUGAAAAUCUCCAUAGUCAUAUUAAAAGAAAUGUAUAAGUGUUUUUAACAUUACAGUAACUAUGUUUUUUCAGUAACCAAUGAAAAUAAUGUAUUUUGGAAAUUCUUUAUUUUUUAUUACAUAUAACUGAAGAGAUACUCAAAUAAGGAAAGUGACUUAAGUUAGGAAAUGACUUAAGAACUUGUUUGAAUACAGCCCCAGGCACAUAUCUCUGGAUUUAAUAAUUGUUAUGUCCAUUUUUUACUGAAAAACAAAAGACGAGCAAUGGCAAUCACUCUGUGGCACUUUCGUUUUCUAUUUCUAGAUAUUUAUUUUUAUGUAAGUGGUUUAUCAUUCUUCUUGGUCUGUGAACAGAAGGUACACAAUAUUUGUGAUAGUGUGAUAGACAUUAUGCUUACUCAGUACUUGUACUUCGAAGAUGUUUUUCUUCCUUAUUCAUGGAAAAUUCUUACUUACCAUAUACGGGCAUGUAUAUACAUGAUAAAUAUGAUUAUGUGUAUAUGUAACCCUGGUUGAAAUCUCUUUCACUAAGAAUCUAUAGGUUCAAUAUAGUUUUAGUGCAAUUAUUAUUUCCGCUAACAUUACCUUUGAUAAAUCUUGUUUUAAAAUUUGCUUGAUAUUUUUUUGUGUAUUAUAAUGUUUGUUGUUAUAGUUUUGUUAGUCAUUUUAUUAGUUAAAGUUAUUUUUAAUUUGAAAAUUAUAUAAUAUGCCUUGAAAUGAUGUAACUGUAAGAAACUGUUAAUGAGGGCUGUCCUAAAAUAGCAUAUAUAUAAUUUGUUGAUAGGUUGUUGUUGUUUUUCCACAAAGAAGGCCUUUUGCAGACAAAUUGUAAUGUUUGUAAAUGCCAUUAAUGUUAUGGGUUAUUGCAGUAAAAACACAAAACCCACGAGAGGAAGUCAGCAUGCGUGUUCUUUCGCCUGUCCAAUCAUUUUCUUAGUAAAUGGGUGGAUGUCUUUUCUCACUAAUUUUGACCCAAAAGGGUAAAUUUGCUUCUGUAGGGGGUGGUAUAAUUUAAAUGUGCCUUCCCCCCAGGGGUUAAGUGGAAUAGUCCUAACAUAAAAUUUCAAGGGAUAUAAUAUUUGAAAGACCAAAGUCGCAGUGGCCCUCGCUAACUUCAAUCCCAGUACAUGGCAGUAUCAAGUUACCUUUAUAUAACAUAAUGCACUUUUUAUAAUAGGGUGGCUACAAUUUCUCAAAAUACAUAUUGCAUUAUGUGGAGCCAGUAUUGAAAUUUAUUGCAAUUAUAUUGUUCUUCGAUAAUUGAGGAGAAAUUUCUGUAAAGAGUUUUUAUAAGACUUAUUAUUGUUAACCAACCUUGUUAAGCAUAUCAUAAGGGAACAUUAUUUUAAAAAAUUAAUAAAGGUUGACAUAAAAAAUGUGCAAAAUGACUAAGUGAACAAAAUAUUUAUACUUAUUGUUCGUAAAUUAUUACUAGACAAGUAAAAAUUUAGUUAAUGUUUUGUUUUUCACAUUGAGAGGAUUGUUGUGUGAGGAUUUCUGCAUUCAUGAACGUCUUUAAAAAAAUGUUGCGAUAUAUAUAUAUAUAUAUAUAUAUAUAUGGAUAUGACGGAAAUUGUAUUGUGAUACCUUAUUAUGAGAUAUGUAUUGAUAUUGUUGCCAGCUUAAUAUUUACUGUAUAUAUUGGUUUAUUUCUUGAGCUACUGACUACAACCAGCACACAAUAUUUUGAUUAUUUAUGAGAUGAGCCACAUCAUGUUAAUUUGGGCCUUAGGACAUAAUUAUUACAAAUGAAAAAAAGAAGAUUUUGUCUUUUUGUUUUAAUUUCUUUCAAACUUAUUUCUAUGAAUAGUUAAUGGCACAUCAUUUUCUUAAUGACAAUUAAUUUACCCAUGUUUACAUAGAAACCAUGCCCUUCUUCAUGGUUUUAUUCAAGUGCAUUCAUAGCACCCGGUAUCUUUUUAAUGACAAUUAAUUUACCCAUGUUUACAUAGAAACCAUGCCCUUCUUCAUGGUUUUAUUCAAGUGCAUUCAUAGCACCCGGUAUCUUUUUUUGAACGGCCCGAUGUUUAAUAUAUUAAAUGAAUGAUCAUACUUUGCUUUCAAGGUUCCGUGUAAGGAUAAAAACUUCUGUCUUUUAUAUUCUAUUUCAAUAUGAAUAGAUUAAUUGUGUGUGAAAUUUUAAUCUUGUCCUUUUGUUUAAUAGCAUGUUUUGUAUUUGACAUCUGAAUAAUUGUACAAAAUGCUCAUUGCAUGGCCUUACUUUUUAAACACAAAUCUGAAUCCAUUUCAGAAUUCUUCCUGAAACUCCUUUAACUGAAUCACAAAAUACAAAAAUAAAAGCAAACAUGUCCGAAGGCCCAAAUUGUGCAAUGUGGCUCAGACAAUUCCUUCCAAAUUUAGUUUCUUACACCGAAGUGUACUGGAUGACUCCAUGUAUCACUGCUUGCUUUAUGAUUUCAGUGAUUAUAAACUUACCGGUAAGAAUUUUAUCCCUCAUUCUCCCAUAUUGAGACUUCAUGUAAUUCUAUUUUCUCAAAGAAAAACAACAACAUUCAUUUAGCAUUUAUAACCUAUGAUCAUGUUUUGUUUCUAUAUUGUUAUAUAUUGUUAUUUCAUUGUUACAUUCACUGUUUAUGGAAACCAAUAUAGUUUAAAUAGGUGAGCUGCCUUAUCAUAUGGCAAAAUGGUGAAAAAUCCAUCAAGUACAUGUAUAAAUAAAACAUGGAAAACAACAGGGAAUUGCCGACAAUCCUGUAUAAAUGCACAAUACCGGUAAUCAAGGCAAAACAAACACCAAACAAGAUGUUGUAAUGUCGCCUUUGUUAAUUGCAUCCUAUGUAUUGCCCAAAUAAUACAAGUGUUGUAGCUAAUGAGUUAUAGGAUGGUGUUGCACCCUGCUCUUUUUUAUAUCACUGCUCUGCCCUCAGGGAGACCAACAAGGACACCCUUCUGCCAUUUUAGAUUUGAACGCUUAAUAUAAUACACAUGUCCUAUGUCUUAUUUAAAAUAUUAUCUGGCAGUCGAAACUUAAAACAAAUGUAAUUAAUCACAUGUAUUAUAUGUAAGUUCUUCACAGCCCAAGUUAAUGUGUCCUUUACCCUUAACCUUAUAACACCCUGCCCCCUUUCUGCGAAACACCCUGCCCCCUUUCUGCGAAACACCCUGCCCUUUAAAACCUGGCUUAAACCCAAUUAAUACCCUCAAAAUAUUGAUAAGACAGCUCACCAUUUUCAUAAUCUUUACUGUAUAUGCCUUCGAUUCUGUUUAUAACACUACAUAUAGAUAUAUGUUAUAUAUUUUCAAAGAAUCAAUAGUUACAAGGUAGAUGUAUUUUCAUAUUCAAGUCGAUAGUUAGUUGGUAUUGCAUUUGCGAACAUUAAUGAAUCAAGAUAAUUGUGUAGACCUCAAUAUUUAAUUGAACAGGUACUGCUGCCACUGUUAUUUCACUUGAACUGUUGAAUCAAACUAUUUAAUUUUGUGACUGUUUCUGACUUUCAAUAUUAUGUGGUUAAGUGAUGAAUAAAUUGUUAUAAUUGUA